UUUUUUUUUUUUUUAUAUAAAAAAAAUAUAUUAUAAUCUGUUCUUACCAGUUUAAUCCCUGGUAAGUCCCCUAUCAGGGGCCGGUGUAUGGAAUAGAUUUUAGGAACCGGGAGAUGGAAAAAGAUGGUUGGUCGGUCCUCUUACUUCCAAUUUGGGGCACUGCGCGUGCGCAAUGUACUGUGCUACCCUAUAUGAGUG